CUCCGGUGUCAUGUGUAACAAGGUUUCAGGUGUGAAUUGGGAGCAGGUGGGUUAAAUUUGGUGUCAUUCCUCUCACACUCUCUCAUUCUGAUCGCUGGAAGUUCAACAUGGCACCUCAUGGCAAAGAACUCUCUGAGGAUCUGAAAAAAAUUAAAUUGUUGCUCUACAUAAAGAUGGCCUAUGCUAUAAGAAGACUGCCAAGACCCUGAAACUGAGCUGCAGCACGGUGGACAAG